rnacentral:lncRNA from 1 species
AGGCUGUGUUUACCUCAGGGAGGAACUCUGUCACUGUGGAUAAGAACACCAGUAAACCCCAGAAGGUGCCAUAGGCUCGCCAGCCUUGAAGCUAGAUCGCUGGGGCUAAUAGCCCUGGAGUGAACUUGGAUGAAUCAGUUUCUUUGGAUCCUGCUUCCUUCCUGCAUAAAACAAAACUCAGGGCCCCUUUCAGAAUGAAAAUUCCAUGACAGAAAAGUUACUUUACAAUGUCAUUAUUCUGCUGCUUCUUUUGUUUUGUGUGUUGUUGAGUUGUGUCAUAUAGAGCUAUUUGUGCUGGAAAAUAGCACAAGACUCUCCGAGACGAGAGGUGUGGCUUCUUUGUAGUAUUUUCCCACGGUGUAAUCUACCUUCUCAUUUCAUCUGCUAUUAGGAGAGGGUCUUCCAGAUUCUUCUAGGUACAGUAAAGAGAAACAGAAAGAUCCUGUGGUUUAAAGACUCUCUCUGGGUCAUUUCAGUGAUCACAGGACUUUGCAAUCCAUCUGGCAAAGAUGGCAGUGUAGUGCCUGAUGAAAUGGCUGGGCUUAGGGAAAUGCUUUUGGCAAAACAUCCCAAAACAAGGAUGGAAAGUUCAAACUGGAGAACGUGCAGCCCCUGUUGAGAUGACUCAGAAAAAGUCAAGUCUACACAGGGGGGAUUUGUUCAAGGGGUAAUAACUACAGCGACGAUGAUUCCUCUGAUCGAAGCUGAGAAAAACACAUCCCAAUACUUGGAUUGCAGCCCUAUGCCGAGACAUCUUUGAACUCUGUAGAAGUUAAAUUAGACAGGCAAGUGUUUUGAAGACAGUCACUGAAAUUAAAACUAGCCACUAAAUACCAGAAAAUAAUCUGAAUCUAUACCCAGUAUACCUGACUCAAAUCAGCUUAUUAUGACUAACAUCAGGGGUUACAAGGUUAUUUUUACCAAGCUAUAUCCAGUUUCUACCCUACAAAUAGAUACCCAAGGACCAGAGUAAUGUUGAAAUAAACCAAGUGUUAAUCU